AUCAGACUGGUCUGUGUGUCUCACGCGGUAAGCCUACUUUUGAUGUCUGUGUAAUUGCGUAAACUACACGCGCAUUCAUUGUAUGCGAUUUGUUCUUCGACGUCGCCGCCGUCUUGGUUCCCUCUUCGCGAACGCAAGAGAAACGGCUACGAAAUCAAAUCAGAGAGGACAACCUCUGUCAAGCAUUACUUCCAAGCUCUCCCCCCCCCCCCUCCCCUUUGUUGACUGACUUGAGGGAGCUAAUUACAAUUCUGCCUAAGCAGGCUUUGUACCAAAAACAAGGUCUGUUUCUUAUCUCACUGAUCCAUCAAAGGUGGAGGAGGCUUCUGCUGAAGGUAACGCACAGCUGGAGGUUGUAGAGAGGUUGCUCAAGGUUUACUUGGCGUGCCCUCCCAAGACCAAAAACAUCAUGGAACUCAAGGUUCAGUUGUAGAUGUACGUUUUGCAUUUUCAGUACCCUCAAAACAUAUUUGUUGUUGUUCAUGUUUCUUAAUUAGUUCUUUCCAACUAUUAAACUUUAAUUUGUGCGAUCCUUAUGUAACCUUUGUCAUAUGUCUGCAGACCUUUAUUAAGUGGA